rnacentral:rRNA from 1 species
AGUGGCGAACGGGUGAGUAACACGUGAGUAACCUGCCCUUGACUCUGGGAUAAGCCUGGGAAACUGGGUCUAAUACCGGAUACGACCAUCUGGCGCAUGUCAUGGUGGUGGAAAGCUUUUGUGGUUUUGGAUGGACUCGCGGCCUAUCAGCUUGUUGGUGGGGUAAUGGCCUACCAAGGCGACGACGGGUAGCCGGCCUGAGAGGGUGACCGGCCACACUGGGACUGAGACACGGCCCAGACUCCUACGGGAGGCAGCAGUGGGGAAUAUUGCACAAUGGGCGAAAGCCUGAUGCAGCGACGCCGCGUGAGGGAUGACGGCCUUCGGGUUGUAAACCUCUUUCAGUAGGGAAGAAGCGAAAGUGACGGUACCUGCAGAAGAAGCGCCGGCUAACUACGUGCCAGCAGCCGCGGUAAUACGUAGGGCGCAAGCGUUAUCCGGAAUUAUUGGGCGUAAAGAGCUCGUAGGCGGUUUGUCGCGUCUGCUGUGAAAGACCGGGGCUCAACUCCGGUUCUGCAGUGGGUACGGGCAGACUAGAGUGCAGUAGGGGAGACUGGAAUUCCUGGUGUAGCGGUGAAAUGCGCAGAUAUCAGGAGGAACACCGAUGGCGAAGGCAGGUCUCUGGGCUGUAACUGACGCUGAGGAGCGAAAGCAUGGGGAGCGAACAGGAUUAGAUACCC